AUGUGUGUGAUGAAUAUUUCGUAAAUCAUUUCUAAUUAAAAUUAAAGUGAUAAUUAGAACAUACAAUAUUUUAAUGAAAUGAUUAAAUCUCAAUAAGCAAUGUCUAAAACAAAGAUAUAAUCCGCUAAUUCCCGUAAGUCAUUUGUUUUUUAAUUCAUUGCGUAUCAAUAGUCAUACAUUCCACUUAACACUAUGCCUGCGUUCUACUUAACGCUCGCAAUGCUCGCAAACAUCGUUUGUCCUUGUUUAACAUCUGAUGAAUGACAAGGAUGAAACAAUUCUACGAGCGUGUGAGCGUUAAGUGAAACGUAGCCUGUAUCAUCUAGUGACAUCACGUUGGUAUCACAAGCAAAGCUAUCAGACAAAUGCCGGCGAUAUCACGUUAGUAUCGCGCACAGCAUCGAAGAAAAAUGCUAGUCACAUCAUUCGUGUUGUGUAUAAAAUUAAUUACAAGUUGUAUAAAAUAAUUAGUUGCACAACGAUCAUAUUAACAGAUUUUCAUUCGGACGUCCAAGUGUUUGACGUUUGCAACACACUCAUUUGCUGCAUAAAUAAUAGCGGUUGAAGUUACUAAUCUUGAUGAAACAGAACACAAAUUAUUCACAUUGGAAAUCAGCUGCUUAUACCCGAAGAUUCGGAAUCGUUGUCCACAGUGCAGCAGUUAAAAAUGCAUGACGAGUGAGUUGGAUAGUUAGUCGUUGGUAUCUAACGGAUAAGAACGGCAUGCAUAGGCAACGGAUAUGUGCGUGCAUGAAGAUAUAGACAGGGAAAUAUUCGACGUAAUGGUCCUCGGAUAAUUGUUGUACCAAAGUAGAUCAUGGCGAACGCGACACGCAAGAGGCACCAAGAAGAAGAGAAGAAUAGUAUCAUCUACUUGUGAUAAAUAGGAAAUUACAGGCUGGCUGGUGGCCCUCGGGUACAUCAUGUAACUCUCAUUCUCUCACGACAGCAAUGAAAAUUCUUUUUUUUCUUUUAAGGAUGAAUAUAUUGGAGGAAUCUAAGGACAACGAAGACGACGACGAUAACAACGAGACAACAAAAAGGCUAUGCUGGAGUACAUCUUUUUCUCUCUUUUUUUAAUUCGGUCGCAAAUGACCGCUGCAGCAGCGAACGGCGGCAGCAACAGCAAUAAAUAUAUAGCAAACAAAAAAGAAGAAACAGGCAUCAAGCCAGCCAACAACAUCAAAAACGACUGCGCGUACCAACAAUCCGAGAGAGAGAAAGAGAGAGAGAGAGAGAUAUCGCAACUGUGAUCAACCCUCUUAUUUACUCUCUUUCUCUGUUUGUCUCUCUCCCUUUGCCUUUCUGCCUCGUUUCUUCGACUCGUUCACAA